CGACAUUUCACAGUCGCCAUGACGACCGGUAGGUCCGCAACGGCUGCGGGGACAAGACCGUUGAGGCUGCCAGGCGAGUCAGGCCUUUCUGGACCUCGCCUGACUCGGCUGGGCUGUGCCUGAAAUUGACCCAGCUCUAUCAGGGAUUAUGAAAAAACAAGGAGUAAGCCCGAAGCCGCUGCAGUCUUCCCGCCCCAGCCAGUCUAAGCGGCGGUGCGGGCCUCCCCCUUCCCCCCCGCCUCCGCCCCGGAGCCGGAGGUAGAGGAGGUGGAAAAGUCGGCCCUAGGCGGCGGGAGGUCCUUCCGGCGGAGGAUCCGAAAUGUGGAAAAUCGAAAAGGCUUGGAGCUAAAGGUGGUGGCCAAGACCCUUCUUCUCGGCCCCUUCCUGUUGGUCCGUAAUUCCCUGGCGCAGCUCCGGGAAGAGGUGCACGAACUGCAGGCGUGGUGGUUCCCCAGCAGAACCACUUUGGACUUCGUCCUUGUGGCUUAUCUCCAUUGGUUACAUUUAGUAAAACUUUGUGAAAAUUAUCGUCAUUUCUCUCACCUCUCAUCUUUGGAACGGGAGAUGACUUUUUGCACCAAAAUGGUAACUCUGGGAGCUUAAAUAAGCAUCAAGAGUUGUUCUGAUGACACGUCCAGCUAUUCAAAUAAAUGUUCAAAUUGUAGAUUUUA
ensembl:lncRNA DPY19L2P4 DPY19L2 pseudogene 4